rnacentral:rRNA from 1 species
AUUAUUAGUUUAUUUUUUUGAAAUCUAAAGUAUAUGGCGGUGUUUUUUCUACUCAGAGGAACCUGUUUCGUAAUUGAUAGUCCACGAUUUAAUUUACUUUAAUUUUUAGUUUGUAUAUCGUUGUGGUUGAUUAUUUUAAUAAAAUUAAAAAUAAUUAGUAAUUUUAAUUAAAUUUAAAUCAAAUCAAGAUGCAGUUUAUAUUAAAGAGGUUAAUGGGUUACAUUAAAGAUUAUUUUUGGUUUAUUAUUUUUAAAUUUAAUAAUAAAUUGGAUUUGAGAGUAAUAUUAUUUAAAUAUUUUAUAUGAAUAGAGCUCUAAGACAUGC